CCUACGGGUGGCAGCAGUGAGGAAUAUUGGUCAAUGGGCGCAAGCCUGAACCAGCCAAGUAGCGUGAAGGAUGACUGCCCUCCGGGUUGUAAACUUCUUUUAUAAAGGAGUAAAGUGAGGCACGUGUGCCUCUUUGUAUGUACUUUAUGAAUAAGGAUCGGCUAACUCCGUGCAAGCAGCCGCGGUAAUACGGAGGAUCCGUGCGUUAUCCGGAUUUAUUGGGUUUAAAGGGAGCGUAGAUGGGUUGUUAAGUCAGUUGUGAAAGUUUGCGGCUCAACCGUAAAAUUGCAAUUGAUACUGGCAGCCUUGAGUACAGUUGAGGUAGGCGGAAUUCGUGGUGUAGCGGUGAAAUGCUUAGAUAUCACGAAGAACUCCGAUUGCGAAGGCAGCCUACUAAACUGCAACUGACAUUGAUGCUCGAAAGUGUGGGUAUCAAACAGGAUUAGAUACCCCAGUAGUC
rnacentral:rRNA from 1 species